GGAGCCUGAGAAACGGCUACCACAUSCAAGGAAGGCAGCAGGCGCGCAAAUUACCCAAUCCCGACACGGGGAGGUAGUGACAAUAAAUACUGAUACAGGGCUCUUUUGGGUCUUGUAAUUGGAAUGAGUACAAUUUAAAUCCCUUAACGAGGAACAAUUGGAGGGCAAGUCUGGUGCCAGCAGCCGCGGUAAUUCCAGCUCCAAUAGCGUAUAUUAAAGUUGUUGCAGUUAAAAAGCUCGUAGUUGAACCUUGGGCCUGGUUGGCCGGUCCGCCUCACCGCGUGCACUGGUCCGACCGGGUCUUUCCUUCUGGGGAGCCGCAUGCCCUUCACUGGGUGUGUCGGGGAACCAGGACUUUUACUUUGAAAAAAUUAGAGUGUUCAAAGCAGGCCUAUGCUCGAAUACAUUAGCAUGGAAUAAUAGAAUAGGACGUGUGGUUCUAUUUUGUUGGUUUCUAGGACCGCCGUAAUGAUUAAUAGGGAUAGUCGGGGGCAUCAGUAUUCCAUUGUCAGAAGUGAAAUUCUUGGAUUUAUGGAAGACUAACUACUGCGAAAGCAUUUGCCAAGGAUGUUUUCAUUAAUCA
rnacentral:rRNA from 1 species